UAGGGAAUCUUCGGCAAUGGACGGAAGUCUGACCGAGCAACGCCGCGUGAGUGAAGAAGGUUUUCGGAUCGUAAAGCUCUGUUGUUAGAGAAGAACGUUGGCAGGAGUGGAAAAUCUACCAAGUGACGGUAACUAACCAGAAAGGGACGGCUAACUACGUGCCAGCAGCCGCGGUAAUACGUAGGUCCCGAGCGUUGUCCGGCCUUAUUGGGCGUAAAGCGAGCGCAGGCGGUUCUUUAAGUCUGAAGUUAAAGGCAGUGGCUUAACCAUUGUACGAUUUGGAAACUGGAGGACUUGAGUGCAGAAGGGGAGAGUGAAAUUCCAUGUGUAGCGGUGAAAUGCGUAGAUAUAUGGAGGAACACCGGUGGCGAAAGCGGCUCUCUGGUCUGUAACUGACGCUGAGGCUCGAAAGCGUGGGGAGCAAACAGG
rnacentral:rRNA from 1 species